UCUGGAGUGCCAGAUUUUAUGGGUUUGGUUUAGGAUCAUAUUAUGGCAUAUUUUGUCCUCUGGGC
rnacentral:tRNA from 1 species